GAUGAACGUUGGCGGCGUGCCUAACACAUGCAAGUCGAACGGAAAUAGCAAUAUUUGAGUGGCGCACGGGUGAGUAACACGUAGCUAAUCUACCUCAAAGCGCGGGAUAACGUGUCGAAAGACAGGCUAAUACCGCAUAAGCUCGCGACCUGUAGAGGGUUGCGAGAAAAGGCGCAAGUCACUUUGAGAUGAGGCUGCGGCCCAUCAGCUAGUUGGGGUGGUAAAAGCACACCAAGGCGACGACGGGUAGGGGACCUGAGAGGGUGACCCCCCACACUGGGACUGAGACACGGCCCAGACUCUUACGGGAGGCAGCAGUGAGGAAUAUUGCACAAUGGGCGAAAGCCUGAUGCAGCGACGCCGCGUGGGUGAAGAAGGUUUUCGGGAUCGUAAAACCCUUUUCUGUGUGACGAGCAAGGACGGUAGCACAGGAAUAAGUCUCGGCUAACUACGUGCCAGCAGCCGCGGU
rnacentral:rRNA from 1 species